rnacentral:misc_RNA from 1 species
CAUAGUCCAUGGAUCCAUCAUCUGAUUUAUUGUCCUCUUCAUUACUCGAUUCCGUUUCGUCUCCUACGGUAGAAGAAGCAACACCAGCACAAUCUCCACUCAUUACCCUAUCUUGAUUAACUGAUCCAACACCAUCAACCUUAUUUUCAGCAUAAAUUUCAAUGAAAAAAUCCAACCUACCAUCAUUUACCAAAACCUCUGGGGCCAUUUCUUCAUCUAGCACUUUGGCACCGGCAUCAUCAACCCCUUUCACUCCACAACCAGAUGG